AGUUCGGUAGCUUAGUUAAUACAGCACUCGUCUAGCAUACGAUAGUCAUGGGAUCGAAUCUCAUCUGAGCAC
rnacentral:tRNA from 1 species